GACAGAGGGUGCAAACGUUGUUCGGAAUUACUGGGCGUAAAGAGCGUGUAGGCGGCCUGGUAGGUCAGCUGUGAAAACUCGAGGCUCAACCUCGAGACGCCGGUUGAAACCAUCAGGCUAGAGUCCGGAAGAGGAGAGUGGAAUUCCCGGUGUAGCGGUGAAAUGCGCAGAUAUCGGGAAGAACACCCGUGGCUAAGGCGGCUCUCUAGUACGGUACUGACGCUGAGACGCGAAAGCGUGGGGAGCGAACAGG
rnacentral:rRNA from 1 species